GAGACAAAAUUGACUUUUGUGAGACAAAAUUGACAAAAUUGAAAUGAAUUUUGUCUCACAAAAGUCAAUUUUGUCUCAUAAAAGUC
rnacentral:sRNA from 1 species